rnacentral:misc_RNA from 1 species
UGUGAAUCAAAUCCUAACGUUGGAAAUCAUCAGAGCAUUAACAAAAGGGCAAAGCCACAGUCUGGGUUUGGUUUGGAUUCAGAAAUCACCACAGCCAUUAAAUCUCUUCGUUUCAGGAGAAUUUUUAUUCCCAAAUCACAAGUGCUUGAUGAAUCAUUAAUAGGACCAUAUAUAGAUUAACAGAUAGAAAAGAGAUAUGGCGAAUCUCUAUGUGAAG